rnacentral:rRNA from 1 species
GACGAACGCUGGCGGCGUGCCUAAUACAUGCAAGUCGAGCGGACCAAACAGGAGCUUGCUCUUGUUUGGUUAGCGGCGGACGGGUGAGUAACACGUGGGUAACCUGCCCGUAAGACCGGGAUAACUCCGGGAAACCGGAGCUAAUACCGGAUAACACCGAAGACCGCAUGGUCUUUGGUUGAAAGGCGGCUUCGGCUGCCACUUACGGAUGGGCCCGCGGCGCAUUAGCUAGUUGGUGAGGUAACGGCUCACCAAGGCGACGAUGCGUAGCCGGCCUGAGAGGGUGACCGGCCACACUGGGACUGAGACACGGCCCAGACUCCUACGGGAGGCAGCAGUAGGGAAUCUUCCGCAAUGGACGAAAGUCUGACGGAGCGACGCCGCGUGAGCGAAGAAGGUCUUCGGAUCGUAAAGCUCUGUUGUUGGGGAAGAAGAAGCGCCGUUCGAACAGGGCGGCGCGGUGACGGUACCUAACGAGAAAGCCCCGGCUAACUACGUG